GUGGGGAAUAUUGGACAAUGGGCGCAAGCCUGAUCCAGCAAUGCCGCGUGGGUGAAGAAGGUCUUCGGAUUGUAAAGCCCUUUCGGCGGGGACGAUGAUGACGGUACCCGCAGAAGAAGCCCCGGCUAACUUCGUGCCAGCAGCCGCGGUAAUACGAAGGGGGCGAGCGUUGCUCGGAAUGACUGGGCGUAAAGGGCGCGUAGGCGGCGCGUACAGUCAGGCGUGAAAUCCCUGGGCUCAACCUGGGUGCUGCGCUUGAUACGUGCGUGCUUGAGUUAGGAAGAGGGUCGUGGAAUUCCCAGUGUAGAGGUGAAAUUCGUAGAUAUUGGGAAGAACACCGGUGGCGAAGGCGGCGACCUGGUCCUGGACUGACGCUGAGGCGCGAAAGCGUGGGGAGCAAACAGG
rnacentral:rRNA from 1 species